rnacentral:rRNA from 1 species
UACGUAGGGUGCGAGCGUUAAUCGGAAUUACUGGGCGUAAAGCGUGCGCAGGCGGUUUUGUAAGCCAGAUGUGAAAUCCCCGGGCUUGACCUGGGAAUGGCAUUUGGGACUGCAAGGCUGGAGUGUGGCAGAGGAGACUGGAAUUCCUGGUGUAGCAGUGAAAUGCGUAGAUAUCAGGAGGAAUACCGAUGGCGAAGGCAGGUCUCUGGGCUGACACUGACGCUCAUGCACGAAAGCGUGGGGAGCAAACAGG